CGCUCGUAGUUGGGCAUUUAUUGUGAACUCCUGAUCUACCCCAGUGGCUUGCAUAAGGACUGUUCUCAAUACUUUCCUGGAGAGAGUGACUGCACUUCACUGUGAGGCGCUUAAUCCUGAGCUUUUACUUUGAGGGAAUGAGAGUGUUUCAAGCAGGCAUUUGUCGUGAAUACGUUAGCAUGGAAUAAUAUCAUGGGACCGCGGUCUGAAGCUGUUGGUUUUGAGGCAAUGGUAAUACUAACGGGGGUAGUUGGGGGCAUUCGUAUUUGAUUGUCAGAGGUGAAAUUCUUGGAUUUUUUAAAGAC
rnacentral:rRNA from 1 species